CAAUAGCGUAUAUUAAAGUUGUUGCAGUUAAAAAGCUCGUAGUUGGAUUUCUGGUGGGAGCGAUCGGUCUGGCGCUUAGCGCGAGUACUUGCAUCGUCUCCGGCCAUCCUUGGGGAGAGUCUGUCUGGCAUUAAGUUGUCGGGCAGAGGAUCCUCAUCGUUUACUGUGAAAAAAUUAGGGUGUUCAAAGCAGGCUUAUGCCGUUGAAUAUAUUAGCAUGGAAUAAUAAGAUAGGACUUUGGUACUAUUUUGUUGGUUUGCGCACCAAAGUAAUGAUUAAUAGGGACAGUUGGGGGUAUUCGUAUUCCGUUGUCAGAGGUGAAAUUCUUGGAUUUACGGAAGACGAACUACUGCGAAAGCAUUUACCAAGGAUGUUUUCAUUAA
rnacentral:rRNA from 1 species